CUAUUAUAUAAUAGAAAUUCAGCAGAGCCACAAUGACCUGUGUUGCAUAUCCAAUACCUACAGAGAGACAUCCCAUAAUCAUCGUCAUUGUGAGGUGACUCCUCCCUCACUUGUGUACUGACCCAGAGCGAUCUCCAAAAAGAACACGGGAAUACCGCAAGUGAAGAGGAAGAUCAGUAUUUUUCAGUAAGGACUGAAUCUCCACGCCUUCUCACCUCCACCGUUCUUGUAGCAGAGGUACGGGAAGCGCCAGACAUUUCCCAGGCCGAUAAUCUCUCCAGCGACUGACAGCACAAACUCCAGCUUGUUAC